rnacentral:rRNA from 1 species
UGGGGAAUAUUGGACAAUGGGCGCAAGCCUGAUCCAGCCAUGCCGCGUGUGUGAAGAAGGCCUUUUGGUUGUAAAGCACUUUAAGCGAGGAGGAGGCUACUUGGAUUAAUACUCUAGGAUAGUGGACGUUACUCGCAGAAUAAGCACCGGCUAACUCUGUGCCAGCAGCCGCGGUAAUACAGAGGGUGCGAGCGUUAAUCGGAUUUACUGGGCGUAAAGCGUGCGUAGGCGGCUUUUUAAGUCGGAUGUGAAAUCCCUGAGCUUAACUUAGGAAUUGCAUUCGAUACUGGGAAGCUAGAGUAUGGGAGAGGAUGGUAGAAUUCCAGGUGUAGCGGUGAUAUGCGUAGAGAUCUGGAGGAAUACCGAUGGCGAAGGCAGCCAUCUGGCCUAAUACUGACGCUGAGGUACGAAAGCAUGGGGAGCAAACAGG